rnacentral:rRNA from 1 species
UGGGUGAAGUCCCGCAACGAGCGCAACCCUUGUCUGUAGUAGCAAUCAUGAAGAUGGGCACACUAGAGAGACAGCCAGGGAAAACCUGGAGGAAGGUGGGGAUGACGACAAAUCAACAGGCCCCUAAUGCGUAGGGCUACACACGUGCUACAAUGGGAAGUACAGAGGGAUGCCAAGCCGUAAGGUGGAGCUAAUACCGUAAAACUAAUCUCAGGGCGGAAAGAAGGCAGAAAAACGCCUACAUGAAGCUGGAGUGACUAGUAAU